CAGUGUAGCAGACAUGAUUUUUUGCAUCUGUUUGACAGAAAACAAAGAAACAGCAGGUACUUUCGCAAUGUUGGUAUGGAUACUUUGGAAUAAUAGGAAUAAUUGUGUUUGGAAUGAUAAUAAUGAACCGGGAACAAGCUUAGGAGUUAAGACUCGACACCUAUGGAAUGAGUGGUUCUCGGUUGCACAGGCACAGCAGAAU
rnacentral:lncRNA from 1 species